GGGUCAGUAGGUUGGUGGUGCCACCGGUACGUACUGGUCUCACUGAUUCCUCCUUCCUGAAGAACCGUAAUGCCACUAAUUUGGUGUUGCGGGGAAACAGGACUGUUACUUUGAAAAGAUUAGAGUGUUUAAAGCAAGCUAACGCUUGAAUACAUUAGCAUGGAAUAAUGAAAUAGGACGAUCGAUCCUAUUUUGUUGGUUUCUAGGAUUGACGUA
rnacentral:rRNA from 1 species